AGUUCUCGUUGGGGGUGCCCGCUGCGCACGGGCUGAGAAACACCCUUGGAACCUGAUCCGGCUCGCACCGGCGUAGGGAAACGUCAAUAUGCGUUC
rnacentral:ncRNA from 3 species